AGCAGCCGCGGUAAUUCCAGCUCCAAUAGCGUAUAUUAAAGUUGUUGCAGUUAAAAAGCUCGUAGUUGAAUUUCGGGAUUGACCCAUCGGUCGUGCCUUAAGGGGUAUGAACUGGUGUGGUCAAUUUCUCACCUUCUGGAGAACCGUGAUGUCCUUAAUUGGGUGCCACGAGGAACCAGGACCUUUUACUUUGAAAAAAUUAGAGUGUUUAAAGCAGGCAUUUUUGCUUGAAUACAUUAGCAUGGAAUAAUAAAAUAGGACGGCAUGAUUCUAUUUUGUUGGUUUCUAGGAUCACCGUAAUGAUUAAUAGGGAUAGUUGGGGCAUUAGUAUUCAAUUGUCAGAGGUGAAAUUCUUGGAUUUAUUGAAGACUAACUACUGCGAAAGCAUUUGCCAAGGAUGUUUUUCAUUAAUCAAGAACGAAAGUUAGGGGAUCGAAGACGAUCAGAUACCGUCGUAGUCUUAAACCAUAAACUAUGCCGACUAGGGAUCGGAUGAUGUUAAUUUUUUUAAUGACUCGUU
rnacentral:rRNA from 1 species